rnacentral:miRNA from 1 species
UUGAAGGAACACCUCUGCUUGA